UACAGGGGGGGCAAGCGUUGUUCGGAAUUACUGGGCGUAAAGCGUGCGCAGGCGGUUUUGUAAGACAGGCGUGAAAUCCCCGGGCUCAACCUGGGAAUUGCGCUUGUGACUGCAAGGCUAGAGUGCGUCAGAGGGGGGUAGAAUUCCACGUGUAGCAGUGAAAUGCGUAGAGAUGUGGAGGAAUACCGAUGGCGAAGGCAGCCCCCUGGGACGUGACUGACGCUCAUGCACGAAAGCGUGGGGAGCAAACCGG
rnacentral:rRNA from 1 species